rnacentral:rRNA from 1 species
UGCGUUGUUGGGUAGGGGAGCGUUCUGUAAGCCUGCGAAGGUGUGCUGUGAGGCAUGCUGGAGGUAUCAGAAGUGCGAAUGCUGACAUAAGUAACGAUAAAGCGGGUGAAAAGCCCGCUCGCCGGAAGACCAAGGGUUCCUGUCCAACGUUAAUCGGGGCAGGGUGAGUCGACCCCUAAGGCGAGGCCGAAAGGCGUAGUCGAUGGGAAACAGGUUAAUAUUCCUGUACUUGGUGUUACUGCGAAGGGGGGACGGAGAAGGCUAUGUUGGCCGGGCGACGGUUGUCCCGGUUUAAGCGUGUAGGCUGGUUUUCCAGGCAAAUCCGGAAAAUCAAGGCUGAGGCGUGAUGACGAGGCACUACGGUGCUGAAGCAACAAAUGCCCUGCUUCCAGGAAAAGCCUCUAAGCAUCAGGUAACAUCAAAUCGUACCCCAAACCGACACAGGUGGUCAGGUAGAGAAUACCAAGGCGCUUGAGAGAACUCGGGUGAAGGAACUAGGCAAAAUGGUGCCGUAACUUCGGGAGAAGGCACGC